UAGAGGGCGCUGCACGCUGCCAAUACUGACUUGCAUUCAGCAUAGGUGAAGACAGUGCCCGGUGCUCUUCCUUCUGCAAAGGGCCGGCGCAGAUGACCCCUGCAAUGUUCUCCACAGUCCAGGCAGCUCUGCAUCCGGCUCUUGGCAGUGUCGCACUCAUGUUGUAAGGAUGAAGCGACGAUGCCUCAGAGGAACCAUGACAGCAGAAAGAAGACAGCCAUGCUUUAUAACUGAGGUGAUCGGGGCUCAUCACUCUGAGAACUCGCCAAUAGUGCCAGUGGUGGCUGGGGUGACACUGCCGAAAGUCUUCGCCUGGGUGGGGAUGAUGGAGCCGCAGAAUCCGAGCCAAGACGCCGUGUCUUACUUGGCCUCCUGGAAUAUGUGACUACAGUGAAGACUUACCUGCAAUCCCAGCCUCAUCCUGACUUGUCUGAGGCCUGUCUGGGCGGCUGGUCUGUGUGACUGUUGAAAAAUUGACCCAAACAUUAUUACCAUGCUUUGUGUAAAAACAACCACUGCAAAGCAUUAUUGUACUGUAACCAUCUAUUAGGUAUUGUUUAAACAAAUUAUUUAAGCUUAAGAGCUUCUAGCUUCAUGAUUUUGAGUUGAAUAUCCAAAUGUACAUGAUGUGGCACACAAUAAAUAUGUUACAUUUUUGAAUUUUGA